rnacentral:rRNA from 1 species
UACAGAGGUCUCAAGCGUUGUUCGGAUUCAUUGGGCGUAAAGGGUGCGUAGGCGGCGCGGUAAGUCGGGUGUGAAAUCUGGAGCUUAACUCCGAAACUGCAUUCGAUACUGCCGUGCUUGAGGACUGGAGAGGAGACUGGAAUUACGGUGUAGCGGUGAAAUGCGUAGAUAUCGUAAGGAAGACCAGUGGCGAAGGCGGGUCUCUGGACAGUUCCUGACGCUGAGGCACGAAGGUCAGGGAGCAAACGGG